GCCGGGCAUGGUGGCGCCCGCCUGUAAUCCCAGCCACUUGGAAGGCUGAGGCAGGAGGGUCGUGAGUUCAAAGCCAUCCUCAGCAACUUAGCGAGAGACCCUGUCUCAA
rnacentral:sRNA from 1 species